rnacentral:snRNA from 1 species
GUGCUCACUUCAGCAGCAUAUAUACUAAAAUUGGAACAAUACAGAGGUGAUUAACAUGGCCCUUGCACAAGGAUAACACACAAAUUUGUGAAACAUUCCAUAUUUUU